CCUACGGGUGGCAGCAGUGAGGAAUAUUGGUCAAUGGACGAGAGUCUGAACCAGCCAAGUAGCGUGAAGGAUGACUGCCCUAUGGGUUGUAAACUUCUUUUAUCAAGGAAUAAAACGAGGCACGUGUGCCUUUUUGUAUGUACUUUAUGAAUAAGGAUCGGCUAACUCCGUGCCAGCAGCCGCGGUAAUACGGAGGAUCCGAGCGUUAUCCGGAUUUAUUGGGUUUAAAGGGAGCGUAGAUGGGUUGUUAAGUCAGGUGUGAAAGUUUGCGGCUCAACCGUAAAAUUGCAAUUGAUACUGGCAUUCUUGAGUACAGUUGAGGUAGGCGGAAUGCGUGGUGUAGCGGUGAAAUGCUUAGAUAUCACGAAGAACCCCGAUUGCGAAGGCAGCUUACUAAACUGUGACUGACAUUGAUGCACGAAAGUGUGGGUAUCAAACAGGAUUAGAUACCCUGGUAGUC
rnacentral:rRNA from 1 species